UCAAAAGCGAUCUCUCGUUCGCUUGUUAUCAACGCCGUUCAAACAAUCCUCGAGACACACACACAAUCAGCUUCGAAUCUUCUUCACGUAUUACUGACUAGUGUGCCAACUAACCAGCCAAAGAAUAUUGGAAAGGAUUUCUCUCGGACAACACGUAACGCACACAACAACAUCAGCAACUAACCUGCAGAAACACGUGACGGUAUCUUCGACGUCGAUGGAGAAAGAAGUAUCGAUGGCCGAGUAUUUGAGCACCUUUCUAUUAUUUCCCAGACCAAACAUCGAACCGAUCCACAAGAAUAUGCACCAACUGGCUUGCUAUUAAUAACAAACAAUAUGGAAGAACGGAAGAGAAGGGAAGACAGGAAGGAGAUAUAAAAUGGUGAAUAAAAGAAAAAAAAAAAAAAAAAAAAUAAGAAAAAAAAA